GUUGCAAUGCUUGCUAUAUAAGGACGUGGUUUGUUUUUUCCGCGUUCAAACCAUGGCAAGAUUGUGUGUAUUUGUCGUGACGUUAACGCUGCUGGUUUGUUGGUGCGGCCCCGCACAAGGACAGUUCAAUUUUUUACAAUGUCCGAUGGGUGACACGCCGUAUCCGGUAAGGUUUUGUCGUCGCCGUUCUGAUUGCAGUAGAAGCCAGUUCUGCCAUUACUCCAUCCCAUGGUUGAGAUAUGGAAUAUGUUGUCCAAGGGCCAUACCAGUACGUUGAAACAGACGAAGAAGUGCACUUGUUUGUGUCUUUAAGACGUACAAAAUAAACAACAAAAGAGAAAU